UUUAAAUUGCAUUCCGAGUCAUCCCUUUCUCAUUAGGGUUUCAUCUGGUUAUCAUCCCCCCUUCUCUGUAUCCAAUCCAAUUCUGAAUCAACCAUGUCUCACUUCGGAAGGUCAGGCCCUCCAGACAUCUCCGACACCUACUCCCUCCUCGUCCUCAACAUCACUUUCCGUACCACCGCCGACGACCUAUUUCCGUUGUUCGAUAAGUACGGCAAGGUCGUUGACAUCUUCAUCCCCAAAGAUCGAAGAACUGGUGAGUCGAGGGGUUUCGCUUUUGUGCGUUAUAAGUAUGCUGAUGAAGCUUCCAAGGCUGUUGAUAGGCUCGACGGAAGAAUGGUUGAUGGUCGUGAAAUAACCGUUCAGUUUGCAAAAUAUGGACCUAAUGCUGAGAGGAUUCAGAAAGGAAGGAUUAUUGAAACAUCUCCGAGAUCAAAGACCUCAAGGAGCCGCAGUCCCAGCAGGAGAAGGCAUCGUGAUGAUUACAAAGACAAGGAUUAUAGGAGGAGAAGUCGCAGCAGGAGUUAUGACAGGCAUGAACGUGACAGGUAUCGUGGGAGAGACAGGGACAGUCGUCGCCGAAGCAGAAGCCGUAGUGCUAGUCCUGGUUACAAGGGCCGUGGGAGGGGGCGCUAUGAUGACGAGCGUCGUAGUAGAAGCCGGAGCAGAUCUGUGGACAGCCGCUCCCCUGCACGACGCAGUCCUAGUCCUAGAAAGAGCCCUUCUCCUAAAAGGAGUAUUUCCCCUCAAAAGAGUGCUUCCCCCAGGAGAAGUCCACGCCGUGUAAGUCCUGAUAAUCGUAGCCGUGAUGGAAGGUCUCUUACGCCUCACAGUGUCUCACCACGAGGCCGACCUGGUGCUUCCCGAAGCCCAUCUCCUCGAAAUUCAAAUGGUGAUGAAUAAGCUGUUUUUCUUGAAGUAUUCCAGAGACAUUCAGACUAGUGUACCAGCGUACCUGUUGCUGUCUUGAAAACAUUGGAUGAUUUGGUCGAUGUGAUGGUAUUAUCAGAGUCUUGGAAACAUUUUAUGAUCUAAGUGCAGUUUGUUAUGAUCGGGAAAAGUGAUUGGGGCCUGAUAGGCGCAUGUUGAAAUUGUUGCUGUUGAUGCUGUUUCUGUCAUUGAUGAUAGUUCGUGAGUUUGGUGCUGUUUCUGUCAUUGAUGAUAGUUCGUGAGUUUGAUGCUGUUUCUGUCAUUGAUAAUAGUUCGUGAGUUUGAUGCUGUUUCUGUCAUUGAUGAUAGUUCGUGAGUUUGAUGCUGUUUCUGUCAUUGAUGAUAGUUCGUGAGUUUGAUGCUGUUUCUGUCAUUGAUGAUAGUUCGUGAGUUUGAUGCUGUUUCUAUGUCAUUGAUGAUAGUUCGUGAGUCUGAUGCUGUUUCUAUGUCAUUGAUGAUAGUUCGUGAGUCUGAUGUUCGUUGCAAGACUAUGCUGCUUUUAGGCCUGAUUGUUUUAACAGUGUCCUGGUUAGGAAGACAUUUAAUUGCUUGAUUUUUUCCCAAUUGAUCUGGUUUUUGGUAAGCUUUUUUGUUCAUUUUAUUUCUCAAAUCCUACAUGCCUUCUGAGAAUUCUGAAUUUGCUCGGGUAAUCAUGAAUUGUUUUCAUAAAAAAAUAACUGAAAGGAAUUCUUGAAGCUGUGAUGAACACAAGUUGAACAUGUGGUUGAUGUUUCAUAGGAGUUGGACCUGUCAUUUGUUCAUCCAGACGCCGAUAUUAAAUAUAAUCUGGUACUAAAUAUGAACCCUAAAUUGUUGCUGGUAUGUUACUUAUAAUCACAAUGAAGGAGUCAAUGAUAAAAUGUUCAAGGUUACUUUUAGGGCAUUUUACUGGAUAACUUAUUCAAGUUUAUAAUAUCUGCUACUUAAUGUAGUGAGAUGUGUUUGCUGUAGCACACUGCUCUGUGAUUGUAGCUGUGAGCUGGUUGCUGAGGCAUCUUUAAUAUGAAUGUGUGUUCGUGAGUUAUUUGAAGAAUUAACAAACUACCGUAGCAGACUGUUGCUGCCUGUUUUUUGCCGGGGUCGAGUUUGCAAUGAUAUUAGACGUUAGGUGUUGGUAACUGAUGAUGGCUGUCUAGCUCUGCCGCUCGAUUCUGUUGAUUCCAAAGCCGCCUUCAAUAUUAUGCUUGUUUUUUUCCUUAGUUUCAUCAUUCAUUCUGAUCAUUUGUAUGGCAUGAUAUUAAUAUAUUUUUAAUUGCUUGUCACUUGUUCUUUGGAACUUUGUGAUCAUUAUUUAGGUUUCCUUAGGUUUAUGGACGUGCUGUUUGUCAUCUGUUGGAAACAGAAUUACAAUUACUUACCACAUGCUAUUUGGACUUAA